GGGACUUCCUUGUGUUCGCGGCCAUUUUAGCUCCUGAACAGCGGUGUUUGCCCUUGAAUGUCUGGAACUGAAAACGGACACUCAAACAGGCGAACACCGCUGAAGCCUCCAGACAUUCGGUAAAACCCCUUCCAAACUACCGAACGACUGGGCGUUCGGUAGAAAGACUUACCAACAGAUGGGGAAUCAAGCGAACCAAGGAUGGUAGCUGGAUGGCCGGCCGUUCGGGAGGUUUUUCAUGCGAUCUAAGACCGACUGCAGGGCCAGAAUUCAUGGAACAGUUUUCGGCUACUUUGCCCGUGCAGUCGGUCAAAACUUCUAAGUCCUAUAUCUCCCGAACGGCUGAACCGAAUGGACUGAGUUUUUAAUAUGUUGGUUUCCCAGACAAUAGCUAUCUGGAGACACCUUGGGGUACAUCCAAACUUUGGGGAAUUUCUGUUACGUUUUAAUUGUGUUUAAUGGUUAUCUGAGGGGAGGAGAUGUACAGUAUGUAUAUUGUUAGGAUUGGAU